rnacentral:rRNA from 1 species
CCUACGGGGGGCAGCAGUAGGGAAUUUUCCGCAAUGGGCGAAAGCCUGACGGAGCAACGCCGCGUGCAGGAGGAAGGCCCUAGUGUCGUAAACUGCUUUUAUCUGUGACGCGGUAGCAGAAGAAUAAGGAUCGGCUAAUUCCGUGCCAGCAGCCGCGGUCAUACGGAAGAUCCGAGCGUUAUCCGGAAUUACUGGGCGUAAAGAGUGCGUAGGUGGCAUAGUAAGCGAGCAGUGAAAGACUCCGGCUCAACCGGAGGUACAUUGUUAGAACUACUAAGCUAGAACAUAGUAGAGGUACCUGGAAUUCCAAGUGUAGGAGUGAAAUCCGUAGAUAUUUGGAGGAACACCGAUGGCGUAGGCAGGGUACUGGGCUAUGUUGACACUAAGGCACGAAAGCGUGGGGAGCGAACGGGAUUAGAUACCCUUGUAGUC